rnacentral:tRNA from 1 species
CCCACUGUAGCUCAGUCGGAUAGAGCGCCGCUUUCAUAAAGCGGGGGUCCCGGGUUCGAGUCCCGGCCGUGAUUCCG